rnacentral:rRNA from 1 species
GUCCAGACUCCUACGGGAGGCAGCAGUGAGGAAUAUUGGUCAAUGGCCGAGAGGCUGAACCAGCCAAGUCGCGUGAGGGAAGACGGCCCUACGGGUUGUAAACCUCUUUUGUCGGGGAGCAAAGCGAGUCACGUGUGACUCAUUGAGAGUACCCGAAGAAAAAGCACCGGCUAACUCCGUGCCAGCAGCCGCGGUAAUACGGGGGGUGCAAGCGUUGUCCGGAAUCAUUGGGCGUAAAGCGUUCGUAGGCGGUAAAGUAAGUCAGAUGUUAAAGCCCGGGGCUCAACUCCGGUUCGGCAUUUGAUACUACUUGACUAGAAUGCGGUAGAGGUAAAGGGAAUUCCUGGUGUAGCGGUGAAAUGCGUAGAUAUCAGGAGGAACAUCGGUGGCGAAAGCGCUUUACUGGGCCGUUAUUGACGCUGAGGAACGAAAGCCAGGGUAGCAAACAGGAUUAGAUACCCUUGUA